rnacentral:rRNA from 1 species
GACGAACGCUGGCGGCGUGCCUAAUACAUGCAAGUUGAGCGCUGAAGGUUGGUACUUGUACCGACUGGAUGAGCAGCGAACGGGUGAGUAACGCGUGGGGAAUCUGCCUUUGAGCGGGGGACAACAUUUGGAAACGAAUGCUAAUACCGCAUAAAAACUUUAAACACAAGUUUUAAGUUUGAAAGAUGCAAUUGCAUCAUUCAAAGAAGAUCCCGCGUUGUAUUAGCUAGUUGGUGAGGUAAAGGCUCACCAAGGCGAUGAUACAUAGCCGACCUGAGAGGGUGAUCGGCCACAUUGGGACUGAGACACGGCCCAAACUCCUACGGGAGGCAGCAGUAGGGAAUCUUCGGCAAUGGACGAAAGUCUGACCGAGCAACGCCGCGUGAGUGAAGAAGGUUUUCGGAUCGUAAAACUCUGUUGGUAGAGAAGAACGUUGGUGAGAGUGGAAAGCUCAUCAAGUGACGGUAACUACCCAGAAAGGGACGGCUAACUACGUGCCAGCCGCCGCGGUAA